rnacentral:rRNA from 1 species
UACGUAGGGUGCGAGCGUUGUCCGGAAUUACUGGGCGUAAAGAGCUCGUAGGUGGUUUGUCGCGUUGUUCGUGAAAACUCACAGCUUAACUGUGGGCGUGCGGGCGAUACGGGCAGACUGGAGUACUGCAGGGGAGACUGGAAUUCCUGGUGUAGCGGUGGAAUGCGCAGAUAUCAGGAGGAACACCGGUGGCGAAAGCGGGUCUCUGGGCAGUAACUGACGCUGAGGAGCGAAAGCGUGGGGAGCGAACAGG